rnacentral:rRNA from 1 species
AAGCGCACGCAGGCGGUUUGUUAAGUCAGAUGUGAAAUCCCCGGGCUCAACCUGGGAACUGCAUUUGAAACUGGCAAGCUAGAGUCUUGUAGAGGGGGGUAGAAUUCCAGGUGUAGCGGUGAAAUGCGUAGAGAUCUGGAGGAAUACCGGUGGCGAAGGCGGCCCCCUGGACCAAGACUGACGCUCAGGUGCGAAAGCGUGGGGAGCAAACAGGAUUAGAUACCCUGGUAGUCCACGCCGUAAACGAUGUCAACUUGGAGGUGGUGCCCUUGAGGCGUGGCUUCCGGAGCUAACCCGUUAAAUCAACCGCCUGGGGAGUACGGCCCCAAGGUUAAAACUCAAAUGAAUUGACGGGGGCCCGCACAAGCGGGGGAGCAUGGGGUUUAAUUCGAUGCAACCCGAAAAACCUUACCUACUCUUGACAUCCACAGAAUUUUCCAAAAAUGGUUUGGUGCCUUCCGGAACUCUGAGACCGGUGCUGCCUGGCUGUCCUCCACUUGUGGUCUUGAAUGUUGGGUUAAAUCCCCCAACGAGCGGCACCCUUAGCCUUUGUUUCCAGCACGUCAUGGGGGGAAUCAAAGGAAACUGCCGGGAAAAACUCGGAAGAAGGGGGGAAAACUAAGCCACAGGGCCCUUACGAGUAGGGGUACACCCUGAUAAAUGGCUAGACAAAGAGACCCAACUCGGAGAGCAACCGACCUC